UUCUUGUAAAUUGCUUUUGUUGUAUAUUUUUUCUUCAUGUAAAUUGAGGGAAAAACAUUAUUAAAGUCUGGUUUCAAUGUAUAUGACAAAUUAUGUAAGAAUCUAAAAUGGUAUCAAAAAUUAUGGCAGCAGUACUUUAUUAUUUGUGAUUUUUUUCUAAACUCUGACCUAGUGGUGCAAAACCUCGGUUCUGUAGUAUAAUUCCUUUCACUUCUGCUUCGUCCUAAGUAAGCAUUUGAAACAAUGGUUAAAUAUUAAUGAUACAAACUUUUUAGUCUAUGUGAUAAGUUCAAAAGUAUUUAAUGAUCACUUUUAAUUAAGAAUAAAGUAUAAAGAAGCAUUUUGCUGGGAUGAAUUCCAAAAAUAGGUAAUUUGAGAGAGCAAAUGGUUGCACAUUUUAAAUUGUAACUUCCCUCGAAAAUGGUGGAAAUAAGAAAAAAGAUAAACAUCUAAAAAAUUCAUUAUCAAGAGGCAGUCAUUUUGCUAUAUUUAGAAUAUUAUGUUACAUUAUUUAAUGAUCUAAUUAAAUAUUUUGUUGUAGGGGAAAUUUGCUGUAUUCAAACUACAAAUUUAGCUAAUUAAUAAUUUAAAGAAAAAAAAACUUGUGUAUUAUUGCAAACAUUUUUGUUCAACAAUACCACUGAGCAAAUAUUUUAGAUAUAGUGGACCCGUUGAUGGUCCAACUGUUUUAUAUAGAAGAAUGACUAAGUUUAAUAGUUUUAUUGUUGUUUUUAGAAUUAUAUACCUGAGCUAACAAGAGAAGACAUCCUCCAGGCACUCAGAGGAAAAAGAAAUGUUAUUUUUGGAAAUAUUGAAAAAAUCUAUGAAUUUCACAAUCAGUAUUUUUUGGUAGAGUUAGAACACUGCGAAAAUUCACCUUUCACUGUGGGACAAUGCUUUUUAGAUUUUCAAAAUGAAUUUUAUAUGCCUUAUACAACAAGAAUAAACCUAAGUCAGAUGCAUUGAUGUCAGAGUAUGGAAAUACAUUUUUUAGA